rnacentral:rRNA from 1 species
GGGUUGUGAGGUUAAGCGACUAAGCGUACACGGUGGAUGCCCUGGCAGUCAGAGGCGAUGAAGGACGUGCUAAUCUGCGAAAAGCGCCGGCGAGGUGAUAUGAACCCUUGACCCGGCGAUGUCCGAAUGGGGAAACCCAGUGCAAUCCGUUGCACUAUCGUUAACUGAAUACAUAGGUUAACGAGGCGAACCGGGGGAACUGAAACAUCUAAGUACCCCGAGGAAAAGAAAUCAACCGAGAUUCCCCCAGUAGCGGCGAGCGAACGGGGAGCAGCCCAGAGUCUGAAUCAGCUUGUGUGUUAGUGGAAGCGUCUGGAAAGUCGCACGGUACAGGGUGAAAGUCCCGUACACGAAAAUGCACAGGCUGUGAACUCGAAGAGUAGGGCGGGACACGUGGUAUCCUGUCUGAAUAUGGGGGGACCAUCCUCCAAGGCUAAAUACUCCUGACUGACCGAUAGUGAACCAGUACCGUGAGGGAAAGGCGAAAAGAACCCCGGCGAGGGGAGUGAAAAAGAACCUGAAACCGUGUACGUACAAGCAGUGGGAGCACCUUCGUGGUGUGACUGCGUACCUUUUGUAUAAUGGGUCAGCGACUUAUAUUCUGUAGCAAGGUUAACCGUAUAGGGGAGCCGAAGGGAAACCGAGUCUUAACUGGGCGUUAAGUUGCAGGGUAUAGACCCGAAACCCGGUGAUCUAGCCAUGGGCAGGUUGAAGGUUGGGUAACACUAACUGGAGGACCGAACCGACUAAUGUUGAAAAAUUAGCGGAUGACCUGUGGCUGGGGGUGAAAGGCCAAUCAAACCGGGAGAUAGCUGGUUCUCCCCGAAAGCUAUUUAGGUAGCGCCUCGUGAACUCAUCUUCGGGGUAGAGCACUGUUUCGGCUAGGGGGCCAUCCCGGCUUACCAACCCGAUGCAAACUACGAAUACCGAAGAAUGUUAUCACGGGAGACACACGGCGGGUGCUAACGUCCGUCGUGAAGAGGGAAACAACCCAGACCGCCAGCUAAGGUCCCAAAGUCAUGGUUAAGUGGGAAACGAUGUGGGAAGGCCCAGACAGCCAGGAUGUUGGCUUAGAAGCAGCCAUCAUUUAAAGAAAGCGUAAUAGCUCACUGGUCGAGUCGGCCUGCGCGGAAGAUGUAACGGGGCUAAACCAUGCACCGAAGCUGCGGCAGCGACGCUUAUGCGUUGUUGGGUAGGGGAGCGUUCUGUAAGCCGUUGAAGGUGGCCUGUGAGGGUUGCUGGAGGUAUCAGAAGUGCGAAUGCUGACAUAAGUAACGAUAAAGCGGGUGAAAAGCCCGCUCGCCGGAAGACCAAGGGUUCCUGUCCAACGUUAAUCGGGGCAGGGUGAGUCGACCCCUAAGGCGAGGCCGAAAGGCGUAGUCGAUGGGAAACAGGUUAAUAUUCCUGUACUUGGUGUUACUGCGAAGGGGGACGGAGAAGGCUAUGUUAGCCGGGCGACGGUUGUCCCGGUUUAAGCAUGUAGGCGGAGGUUCCAGGUAAAUCCGGUACCUUUUAACGCUGAGGUGUGAUGACGAGGCACUACGGUGCUGAAGUAACAAAUGCCCUGCUUCCAGGAAAAGCCUCUAAGCAUCAGGUAACACGAAAUCGUACCCCAAACCGACACAGGUGGUCAGGUAGAGAAUACCAAGGCGCUUGAGAGAACUCGGGUGAAGGAACUAGGCAAAAUGGUGCCGUAACUUCGGGAGAAGGCACGCUGAUAUGUAGGUGAAGCCCCUGCGGGUGGAGCUGAAAUCAGUCGAAGAUACCAGCUGGCUGCAACUGUUUAUUAAAAACACAGCACUGUGCAAACACGAAAGUGGACGUAUACGGUGUGACGCCUGCCCGGUGCCGGAAGGUUAAUUGAUGGGGUUAGCGGUAACGCGAAGCUCUUGAUCGAAGCCCCGGUAAACGGCGGCCGUAACUAUAACGGUCCUAAGGUAGCGAAAUUCCUUGUCGGGUAAGUUCCGACCUGCACGAAUGGCGUAAUGAUGGCCAGGCUGUCUCCACCCGAGACUCAGUGAAAUUGAACUCGCUGUGAAGAUGCAGUGUACCCGCGGCAAGACGGAAAGACCCCGUGAACCUUUACUAUAGCUUGACACUGAACACUGGUCCUUGAUGUGUAGGAUAGGUGGGAGGCUUUGAAGCGUGGACGCCAGUCUGCGUGGAGCCAUCCUUGAAAUACCACCCUUUAAUGGCUGGUGUUCUAACGUAGACCCGUAAUCCGGGUUGCGGACAGUGUCUGGUGGGUAGUUUGACUGGGGCGGUCUCCUCCCAAAGAGUAACGGAGGAGCACGAAGGUUAGCUAAUCCUGGUCGGACAUCAGGAGGUUAGUGCAAUGGCAUAAGCUAGCUUGACUGCGAGAGUGACGGCUCGAGCAGGUGCGAAAGCAGGUCAUAGUGAUCCGGUGGUUCUGAAUGGAAGGGCCAUCGCUCAACGGAUAAAAGGUACUCCGGGGAUAACAGGCUGAUACCGCCCAAGAGUUCAUAUCGACGGCGGUGUUUGGCACCUCGAUGUCGGCUCAUCACAUCCUGGGGCUGAAGUAGGUCCCAAGGGUAUGGCUGUUCGCCAUUUAAAGUGGUACGCGAGCUGGGUUUAGAACGUCGUGAGACAGUUCGGUCCCUAUCUGCCGUGGGCGCUGGAGAAUUGAGGGGGCUGCUCCUAGUACGAGAGGACCGGAGUGGACGCAUCACUGGUGUUCGGGUUGUCAUGCCAAUGGCACUGCCCGGUAGCUAAAUGCGGAAGAGAUAAGUGCUGAAAGCAUCUAAGCACGAAACUUGCCCCGAGAUGAGUUCUCCCUGAGACUUAAAGUCUCCUGAAGGAACGUUAAAGACGAUGACGUUGAUAGGUCGGGUGUGUAAGCGCAGCGAUGCGUUGAGCUAACCGAUACUAAUGAACCGUGAGGCUUAACCUUACAACGCCGAAG